rnacentral:rRNA from 1 species
UGGGGAAUCUUGGACAAUGGGGGAAACCCUGAUCCAGCCAUUCCGCGUGGAUGAUGAAGGCCUUAGGGUUGUAAAAUCCUUUCAGCAGGGAAGAUAAUGACGGUACCUGCAGAAGAAGCCCCGGCUAACUCCGUGCCAGCAGCCGCGGUAAUACGGAGGGGGCUAGCGUUGUUCGGAAUUACUGGGCGUAAAGCGCGCGUAGGCGGAUCAGUCAGUCAGAGGUGAAAUCCCGGAGCUCAACUUCGGAACUGCCUUUGAUACUGCUGAUCUGGAGUCCAAGAGAGGUGUGUGGAAUUCCGAGUGUAGAGGUGAAAUUCGUAGAUAUUCGGAGGAACACCAGAGGCGAAGGCGACACACUGGCUUGGUACUGACGCUGAGGCGCGAAAGCGUGGGGAGCAAACAGGAUUAGAUACCCCCGUAGUCC